GUUCAAGGUAGAGGCGCAAGAACCAUCAGUAUAUGUUUUUAGGGUGAUACCAGAGAGAAACAUAAAAAGGGGUUGUUGCCGAAGUGGAGUCAGUAAUAUCAAGACUCUCCGCUGGGGUUAUCUUCGAAUAGGGAUAACACUGCCAUAGUCUAUAUUGUUGUUAAACUAUGGAGCGCUACUGUAGGG
rnacentral:ncRNA from 1 species